GUUUAAAUAUAUUGCUCUUUUGGCAUCGCUGUUGCUGGCACUCCAUGGCAGCAACCAGGCUGAUUCUUCACCCCAGUUUCCCAGGUGAGCACAGCAGUGCCUCCCUCAUAGAGGUGAGAGUGACCCUGCAAAGACAGAAUCACGCCAUGAUUCCAGAGCUGAAAGAUCCCAAACCAGUGAUUUCUCUCAUUCCUGGCUCAAAGUUACAGGAGUUGAAAAGCACUAGUACAAAAGGGCAACGGUUUUCAUGUCUUUCAGCAAUUAAUUGUAGCUCUUGAAAAGUAAUCAAAACUCAGAGCUGGGUGUUAUGGUAAUUGUCUGAUGACUAAUGAAGGACAAAUGCCUCGAUAAUUAAAGACUGAAAGGCUCUGGGUUAGAUUUUAGAAACAUCAUUCAUUCCUGUGAUUUUUUUCCUUCUGUUUGCUUACUCAAUUUAUCUUUUAAUGGUUUAUUUUAACCUCUGUUUUCCCAUUUUACCUAUAGUUUUUAUAUAACAUAAACAUGCACAGCAAUUUUCUUCAACAGUUUAUGUUUCCAGCCAGCCAUGGAAGAAGAAUUGCUCAAACUGCAGAAGAAUCUGCAUGAUGGUACCUCCACAGAAACACCACGUUUCUGGCAAUGAAAUUGUGAAGAGGGUCUAUGGUACCAUGAUCCAGAAGCCAAGGGAUAAGAUUUAAUUGUGUUUUCCUGUGAAACAGAAGCACAAGCUCGAGCACCUGCCAGUAUUUCUUGACUGAAGUGCUCAUCUGUUUUAUACUUUUCUUCUUUCCUUUUCUUUUCUAUUUUUUUUCUCAGCUGAAGGUACCUACAGCUGGACCCAACUAGAUGCUGUUUGAUCAACUGACCAUGCUAGAUGUUGUCCAGACAAGGCUUUAGAGCUAUUUGCCACAGUGACUGGAUAUAGGAACCAGAGCAGUGAAGGUGGUUUUGAGGGAAGACUGUGGUUAAAUCAGACUGAGUGUAUAGGAACCCUUUUCAGUGACAGAGACAGAUAAUUAGUCUAAUAAUUGUGGCUAGUGUGUAAAUACUUGUAAAUAAACUUUACACAUCUUCUGUGGCUCCAAGGACUCCAGAACACCACAAGAGACACUGUGGGAAAGAGGCAUACAUUUUAAAAAGAUAAUUUAACAAUAAGGAUUUGAUUUAAAAAAAAGGAUAAUAAUUUGAUAAUAAGUGUUAUUUUAAUAAGAGUAGAUUACUAUAAAAGAGAGCUUUCCCUGCCCCUUGAAAUGCUUGUGGUGUUUUGCAUUAACCUGCAGUGGAAGGGAAUUAAGCUAAAUCAAUUUGUGCACUAUUCACCCAACUUUUGGAAAUGUUUUGCUAGAGAGGUCACAGGACAGGUUAAUACAAUCGAGUUAGCACACUAUGGCAAGUCAUGUUAAUAAGUUUUGUGUCAUACAGUCAACUGAGAGGAUCCUUGCUUGCAUCUUAAUUUGUGGUAACCUGUGGCUGUGUCUUUACUGGCAAAUGCUUCCAGAGAAGAGAGAGAAAUAGACCACUGACCUGAUACAGGUUGAGAACAGCACAGCUAGUUGAACAGCACUUAAACUCUAAACUGGUGUUUCCAAACAGCUGGAAUCAGAAGGUAGCCCAAUAACUGCCCACUCACCCACCUGCUACACUUUGGACUGAAAUCUGUACCUCCAUGUUGCUGCUGACCAUGCAAAUAAAGAGAACAGCACAGCCUGGCAUCAGAAAGGUAUGUGGGGUCCUUGCGCCUGUGGGAAACAGUGGGGCUUAGGAUCCUGCAUAACUUUCUGUAUUCAUCUUGGGUGUUCGUCAUCACUGUGAAAUACUUCUUGCACUCUGUUUCAGUUACGUGUCCUCAAAAUCCUAUAUUAACUCUUAGUGUCUCAAGGGAAGAGUAACUCAAAACAGAUGUACCGUGCAGGGUAGGUUGUACAAUAUUAUUCUAUGUUGAAGAGGUCUUUCAUAAAGUACCAUGGAAAGAGUUCAAAAAUAACUAUUAAAAGGAGGAUAAUAACUUUUACCUCUGACACUAAGGGAAAUACAGUCUAGCAUAUUAUAUUCCUCACAGAUAAGAUGAGCAAUUUAAGCGCAAGACAAACUAAUCCAAUAAGCAUGUUAAUGAAAACACUCCUGAUUAAAAUCGCUCAGUAAAGUGAUCAUGUGGAAAUUUUAACAAGCAACAUGACUUGU